UACGUAGGUGGCAAGCGUUGUCCGGAAUUAUUGGGCGUAAAGCGCGCGCAGGCGGUCCUUUAAGUCUGAUGUGAAAGCCCACGGCUCAACCGUGGAGGGUCAUUGGAAACUGGGGGACUUGAGUGCAGAAGAGGAAAGCGGAAUUCCACGUGUAGCGGUGAAAUGCGUAGAGAUGUGGAGGAACACCAGUGGCGAAGGCGGCUUUCUGGUCUGUAACUGACGCUGAGGAGCGAAAGCGUGGGGAGCGAACAGG
rnacentral:rRNA from 1 species